UUUUAAUACCAGUUCAUCAUUCAAGGCAAGGUUUUUUAAUGGCUACAUAUGGAUUUAAUGCUUCAGCUCCACCAGUAUUUACUUGUGAAAACUAUGCAAUUUGGUCAGUGAAGAUGAAGUCUUACCUCAAGGCAUUUUGUAUCUGGGAAGUUGUGGAGCCAGUGAAGAGACAUACCAAUUCGAUAGUUUGAAAAAGACAAAGCCAAGAGAUAAGAGCAUUCAGACAGAAGAAUGCAGUUGAUAGUGCACUAGUGGCCAAAACUAAGAAUCUGACGCUUGGUGGAAAUAGUUAUAAGAAAAAUGAGCUUGAAAGGAAGGAGAAAGGGAAGAAAAUUGUGGAUGACAAGACUGGAAAGCCAAAAACCAAGUUUCUACCAUGCUCUCAUUGUAUGUAAAAAUAAAGGGACUCAUGUGGAUGAAAACACUGCAAUUGUUGAGCAAAUUGAAGGUGCUAAUGAAGUGUUGUUUACGGUUCAAGAAGUAGGGAAAUCAACUAAGAAGAAUGUGUGGUUGAUUGACAAUGCUUGCUCAAAGCAUUUGACAGAGGAUGUAGGAUAAUUUACAACUCUCAACAAGAGUUACAAAGCUAAAGUUGAGAUUGGUGAUGGUUCUUUUUUAAAGAUUCUAGGCAUAGGAACAGUGGUUGUGGAGACACAAGAGGGUAACAAGUAUAUUCUUGAUGUUUAUUUUGUUCCUGAUGCAAACCAAAAUUUGCUUAGUGUUGGAUAGUUAACUAAGAACCACUAUGUUCUUUUGUUCAAGGAUAAAUAUUGUACUAUCUUUGAUCCUUAAGGUGAAGAAGUGUUGGCAGUCGAGAUGAAGAACAAGUAGUACCCUAUUGAUUGGAAACAUAUAAAUCAAAAGGCUUUUUUUAGUGCAGCACAUGACUCUGAACUGUGCCACAGAAGGUUGGGGCAUAUAAACUACAAUUCUCUGCAAAAUAUGGUAACUAAGGAGCUAGUUGAAGGUUUGCCUAAGAUUACAAAGCCUGAUAUGGUAUGUAGUACUUGUCAGUAUGGUAAGCAAUGUAUACUACCUUUUCCAAAAGAGAGAAAUUGGAGAGCAACUAGAAAGCUUCAGCUGGUCCAUAUUGUACUACCCUGUAUUUUGAUACGGUGGCUAAUAAAGUUUACGGAUGUCAAUUGAAGUUGA